rnacentral:rRNA from 1 species
AGGAGGAGCAAAUCUGAAAAAAGACGUCCCUAGUUCGGAUUGUAGGCUGAAACUCGCCUACAUGAAGCUGGAAUUGCUAGUAAUCACAGGUCAGCAUACUGUGGUGAAUACGUUCCCGGGUCUUGUACACACCGCCCGUCACACCAUGGGAGCCGGUAAUACCCGAAGUCAGUAGUCCAACCUCGUGAGGACGCUGCCGAAGGUAGGAUUGGCGACUGGGGUGAAGUCGUAACAAGGUAUC